ACUCAGGCACGAUCCGUUUCUGGCGCAGAUAGCAGCGCAGAGAAGUGGAACCGACCUGAAGUAUCAAUCCUGAGGGA
rfam:Corynebacterium genitalium ATCC 33030 chromosome, whole genome shotgun sequence.